GGAUGUGAGGGCGAUCUGGCUGCGACAUCUGUCACCCCACUGAUCACCAGGGUUGACUCAGCUGAUCUGGCUGGCUAGGCGGGUCCCCUUCCUCCCUCACCACUCCAUGUGCGUCCCUCCCGAAGCUGCACACUCAGUCGAAGAGGAUGGCCUUCCCCGAACAGAGAGAGACCAGUCUUCAGUCAAGGGUAUAUGAGUAGCUGCACUCCCCUGCUAGAACCUCCAAACAAGCUCACAAAGGGAAAAUGAAGCUUGCGUGUAUAUAUAUAUAUAUAUUUGUAAAUAUGUCCACAAU
ensembl:misc_RNA 7SK 7SK RNA